rnacentral:rRNA from 1 species
UACGUAGGGGGCUAGCGUUGUCCGGAUUUAUUGGGCGUAAAGAGCGUGUAGGCGGCCAGGUAGGUCUGCUGUGAAAACUCGAGGCUCAACCUCGAGAUGUCGGCGGAAACCAUCUGGCUAGAGUCCGGAAGAGGAGAGUGGAAUUCCUGGUGGUAGCGGUGAAAUGCGCAGAUAUCAGGAAGAACACCCGUGGCGAAGGCGGCUCUCUGGGACGGUACUGACGCUGAGACGCGAAAGCGUGGGGAGCGAACAGG